UCCCUGGUAGCUCAGUGGUAGAGCAAGCGACUGUUAAUCGCUUGGCCGCAAGUUCGAACCUUGCCCAGGGAGCCA
rnacentral:tRNA from 2 species